AGGAGGCAGCAGUGGGGAAUUUUUCGCAAUGGGGGAAACCCUGACGAAGCAACGCCGCGUGGAGGAUGAAGGCCUUCGGGUCGUAAACUCCUGUCGACUGGGAAGAAUGUCGCGUGUCCUAAUACGGCAUACGAUUGACUGUACCGGUGGAGGAAGCCACGGCUAACUCUGUGCCAGCAGCCGCGGUAAUACAGAGGUGGCAAGCGUUGUUCGGAAUUACUGGGCGUAAAGGGCGCGUAGGUGGCCCUGUAAGUCCCGCGUGAAAUCCCUCGGCUCAACUGAGGAACUGCGCGGGAAACUGCUUGGCUUGAGUUCGGGAGAGGGAAGCGGAAUUCCGGGUGUAGCGGUGAAAUGCGUAGAUAUCCGGAGGAACACCGGUGGCGAAGGCGGCUUCCUGGACCGAUACUGACACUGAGGCGCGAAAGCUAGGGGAGCAAACGGGAUUAGAUACCCCGGU
rnacentral:rRNA from 1 species